CUUCAUCUACAAACUGAAAGUGAAGAAUACCAGACUGAAAGUGAAGAUUACCAAUGUGAUCGUGUCUGUGGCAUUGUCUUUCAACUGUGCUGACUUCAAAAAACAUACAAUGACACAUUCACAUGAUGGUAUUUCACAAUCCUCUAUUUUGAAAGUGAUGAAUGAGACACAUAAAGAAGAUAAACUGAUAUUUUGAAUAGAAUCGACUUUUAAAGAUCAUACAUCCAGAUUUUCAAUUUUGGUGAAUUCAUAAAAGAAUAUUUAUUUAUUGUUAGAAUCUAAUUUUUUUUUAAUAAAUAUCUUUACAUACUA